GGGGGGGGGGGGGGGGGGGGGGGGUGCGGGCGGGUCGGGCGGGGGGGCGGGGGGCUUGCUCCUCUGGCGUUGGCGGCGGGCGGGUGCGUAACACGGGGAUAACCUACCUAUACGACUGUGAUAACUUCUGGACACCGGAGCUAAUACCGGCUCAUAUCUUGCCCCGCAUUGUUCGAUCGUGCCAGACGGUUUUGCUGUCACUUCUAGAUGGCUGCGCGCCGCAUUAGCUAGUUGGUCAGGUAACGGCUUACCAAGGCAACGAUGCGUAGCCGACCUGAGAGGGUGAUCGGCCACACUGGAACUGAGACACGGUCCAGACUCCUACGGGAGGCAGCAGUAGGGAAUCUUCCGCAAUGGGCGAAAGCCUGACGGAGCAACGCCGCGUGAGUGAUGAAGGUCUUCGGAUCGUAAAACUCUGUUAUUAGGGAAGAACAAAUGUGUAAGUAACUAUGCACGUCUUGACGGUACCUAAUCAGAAAGCCACGGCUAACUACGUG
rnacentral:rRNA from 1 species